rnacentral:rRNA from 1 species
UACGUAGGGGGCAAGCGUUGUCCGGAUUUACUGGGCGUAAAGAGCGUGUAGGCGGCCAAGCAGGUCCGUUGUGAAAACUGGAGGCUUAACCUCCAGACGUCGACGGAAACCGCGUGGCUAGAGUCCGGAAGAGGAGAGUGGAAUUCCUGGUGUAGCGGUGAAAUGCGCAGAUAUCAGGAGGAACACCAAUUGCGAAGGCAGCUCGCUGGGACGUUACUGACGCUGAGACGCGAAAGCGUGGGGAGCAAACAGG